GCCUUCGUGGUGUAAUGGCAAGCACGCUGGUCUCGUAUUCCAGAGGUGCGUGGUUCGAGUCCCGGCGAAGGCU
rnacentral:tRNA from 1 species